rnacentral:rRNA from 1 species
UACGUAGGGUGCAGGCGUUAAUCGGAAUUACUGGGCGUAAAGCGUGCGCAGGCGGUUCCUUAAGUCAGAUGUGAAAGCCCCGGGCUUAACCUGGGAACUGCGUUUGAAACUGGGAGACUUGAGUGUGGCAGAGGGGGGUGGAAUUCCACGUGUAGCAGUGAAAUGCGUAGAUAUGUGGAGGAACACCGAUGGCGAAGGCAGCCCCCUGGGUUAACACUGACGCUCAUGCACGAAAGCGUGGGGAGCAAACAGG